CACCACCUGCACUCUGUCUAACAACCCCACUUACAUCUGGUACAAGAACGGAGAGCCUCUUCCUCAGCAGACCCGGAGUAAUCAGUAUUACAGUGUCCCAAAAGAGAAAGCAGGCAGCUACUCCUGCGCUGUAAGAGGACAUGAGGAUCUUCGCUCUCCUGCUGUCUGUGUUUUUGAUGAGAAGAGCUGCUGGAGUGUGACUUACUCCACCCAGAAUAUCUGCUCUCUGAUUGGCUCAUCAGUGGAGAUACAUAGUUAUUACACAUACCCUAAUAAUUACAAGGUCACUAAAGUGUUGUGGUUCAGUAAAGAGCAGGCUGAUGGUGAGGCUGUGGAUGUGAGAGAGGAUGAGGAGGAUCAGGGCCGAGUGCAGCACACACAGAGCUCCCAGAAUAACUGGAGUCUGAGAAUCACUAACCUGAGAGAGAGAGACGCUCAAACAUACAGAUUCAGAUUCUACACCACUGGGGGUGAUUACACCGGCCAACCUGGAGUCUCUCUGUCUGUCACAGAUCUGAAGAUUAUGGUAUCAGACUCAGGUCAUGGACA